UGACUGGCUGCACCCGCACCCGUACCCCAACCCCACAGGUCUCCAACUACCUCAACUGGAUGGUGAGGAACCUGGCAGACAUGGAGAUCCAACUGGGAGCUGUGAAGCGUAUCCACACACUCCUGAAAACUGAGGCAGAGAGCUAUGAGGGGCUCCUGGCACCAUCGCUGAUCCCCAAGAACUGGCCAGACCAAGGGAAGAUCCAAAUUCAAAACCUGAGUGUACGCUAUGACAGCUCCCUGAAGCCCGUGCUGAAGCACGUCAACGCCCUCAUCUCCCCAGGACAGAAG
rnacentral:lncRNA from 1 species